rnacentral:rRNA from 1 species
UACGUACUGGGCGAACGUUAUUCGGAAUCACUGGGCUUAAAGCGUGUGUAGGCGGUUCGUUAAGUGUCUUGUGAAAUCCCACGGCUCACCCGUGGAACUGCUGGGCAUACUGGCGAUCUUGGGCCAACUAGGGGCAGCCGGAACAAGCGGUGGAGCGGUGAAAUGCGUAGAUAUCGCUUGGAACGCCGAAGGUGAAAACAGGCUGCUGGGGUUGUGCCGACGCUGAGACACGAAAGCCAGGGGAGCAAACGGG